CACAAACCCUAACCAAUCAUUCUACCAAUCCAUGUCACCCUCUAUAUAUUUGCACUCCUCCCGUGCCGCCGCCGCCGCGCCGUACCGCCGGCCUCUCCACCGUUCAUUCUCCAAUGGCGUCGACUCACGCAAUCAGCAAGAAGCGGAAGUUCGUGGCGGAUGGCGUGUUCUUCGCGGAGCUGAAUGAGAUGCUGACCCGCGAGCUCGCGGAGGAUGGCUACUCCGGCGUCGAGGUCCGCGUCACCCCCAUGCGCACCGAGAUCAUCAUCCGUGCCACCCGCACUCAGAACGUUCUCGGCGAGAAGGGCCGGAGGAUCAGGGAGCUGACUUCUGUGGUUCAGAAGCGCUUCAACUUCCCGGAGGGUGGUGUUGAGCUCUACGCAGAGAAGGUGAACAACCGUGGCCUCUGCGCCAUUGCCCAGGCCGAGUCGCUACGCUACAAGCUUCUUGGUGGACUAGCCGUGAGAAGGGCAUGUUAUGGUGUUCUCAGGUUUGUCAUGGAGAGUGGUGCUAAGGGCUGUGAGGUUAUUGUAAGUGGUAAGCUCAGGGCUCAGCGUGCUAAGUCUAUGAAGUUCAAGGAUGGGUACAUGAUUUCUUCUGGUCAUCCUGUCAACCUAUACAUUGAUUCAGCUGUGAGACAUGUUCUAUUGAGACAGGGUGUGCUUGGUAUCAAGGUUAAGAUUAUGCUGGACUGGGAUCCAAAGGGCAAGCAAGGGCCAACCAUGCCUUUACCUGAUUUGGUUACAAUUCACGUGCCUAAGGAAGAGGAUGAAUUCUUGAGGCCUCUUGCAGCUGAAAUCCAAGUUGCCUGAAGUAAAAAAGUAGUUCCAGUGAGGCCUACGCCUGUGGUUGUGGUCCUCCUUUUUUUGUGUAAUGUUCAUUAUUAACAUGUCGAAAGUAAAAAGAGCUUUACUUUCUACAGUUGCAAGCAGUGGAUUUUUGUAUCGGCAGCAUGCUAAUUGUGCAAUGUUACCGAGCGGUCCUGCAAAAUCGAUUUCAGGGAGGAUGGCCUUCUCCGCGCUUAGUGUUGUCACCGAAUGCAUUAAGCUGUCCCCUCUAUAUGACUUUGGUGAAUUCUGUGUAUUUGAUUUUGGGGAAGAACUUUGUUGGUUGUUUGCGUUUGUGUUUUUUGUAAGGAUUGCAAACAGCCUAGGCGAGUUGCUACUGUGUUUGUUUGGGACUGGUAAUUCCAUCACUACAUUACCUCUUUAGGUGCUCCAUAAGGGCUCCUUUGGGAGCAAGGAUACCCGGGGUUUUAGGCCCUUCAAUCUCCUCUGCUAUCAUUGCUCCCAAACAAAAAAAUAGGAAAGGAAUGUAUUAGUGUAAUGCAAUCUCUGUAAACAGUCAUGAUGACUUUUAAAUAACUCUCACUGUGCAUGAGCUUUCCCCUGA